rnacentral:rRNA from 1 species
AACGAACGCUGGCAGCAUGCCUAACACAUGCAAGUCGAACGAGACCUUCGGGCCUAGUGGCGCACGGGUGCGUAACGCGUGGGAACCUGCCCUUAGGUUCGGAAUAACUCCCCGAAAGGGGUGCUAAUACCGGAUAAUGUCUUCGGACCAAAGAUUUAUCGCCUUUGGAUGGGCCCGCGUUGGUUUAGCUAGUUGGUAGGGUAAAAGCCUACCAAGGCGACGAUCCAUAGCUGGUCUGAGAGGAUGACCAGCCACACUGGAACUGAGACCCGGCCCACACCGGGAGGGAGAGGAGCGGUAGGGAGUAUUGUGGGAGGGGCGAUAGCGCAAUCAAGCAAUGCGGGGGGAGUGAUGAAGGCGUUAGGGUUGUACAUCUCUUUGACACGGAAUGAUAAUGACAGUACCGGGAAAAUAAGCACCGGCUAACUCCGUG